CACCCACACAUCCAUCCUUCCCUGCACCUAUCCAGCCACCCAUUCGUCCUCCCUCCCUCCUUCCCAUCCAUCCAACAAAUAUUUAUGGGGUGCAUCACACCGACUAGGCACAGGGGUUAUACUGGUGAGCAUAGCCAGCACCCUCUGUGCCCUGAGGCAGCUCCCAGGGCAGUGCAGGAGGGGGAUGUUAAUCAAGGAAUCCCACGGUCACUAGCCAGAAACAGUGACCAGGGUUACAAAGAGAGGUCCUGGACGGGGUCGUUAUGGUGUUGUUUUAACAAGGGGACGCUCCCAGGUUGGGCAUUGGAAGACAAACAGGAAAUAGGCCCAGCAGGGGUUCCAAGCUGCGGGCGUAGCAUGUGCAAAGGUCCUGUGGUUCAUUCCAGGAACCGCGAGGAGGCUGGUGUUGCCAGUGCAAGGAGCGAUAGGGAGAGUGAUGCAAGACAGGCCUGCAGAGUUUGGCAGGGGCCAGUCCUCACGGGGAAGGGCUGCUUCUGCGCAGCCCUGACUCCUUCGGACCCUUUUUAUCCGGUGCAUUCUUACUCGUCUUUUAGGCCUCAGCUCAGGGUUUCCUCUCGUGAAAGCCUUUAUUGCCCUAUGCACACUGAGUGAGGCCUGGGAACUUUCUCCCAGUAAGAAAAAGCAUCCGGUAGUUGGAAGUAAGGCAAAGAAGGUGAAACUUCCUUUCCGUGCCAUACUCGGGCAUUGUUGAGAAAGGUCCCUGACCUUUGUGGAAUCAGUUGACCCCACAAAGAGCGCAGCUGAGCUGGGCUUUGCUAUUCUGUUUUUGGCAUCCAUCGUGUUUCGUAACUUCUCGAAAAUUACACACGGACACCUCGUCCAGAUGCUCUGGCCCCCGCACACCCCAUGAGCUCAUAAGGGUGUGGCCUAGCUUCCGUCGGCCUGGUUUCCCUGGAGGUUUGCAGGGCUAGGCUCACAGCCGGAGCCGGAGAAAUAAUGACUGGCUGCAUGAGUGAUCUUGUCUCUUCUCCUCUCCGAGCCUCCAUUGUCUUAUCCGUGAAAUGGACCUCACGGCACCCAUCUCCAGCGGAAGUAAACGUUCGGUGACGUGAAGAAUUCAGGUGCCCGGGUGGGCUCCUGUCUGGCACAUGAACCUGCAGGUGAAGGGUCCAGCCCAUUUCCCAGGAGAACAAACCGAGGCUCGGAGGUGAAGCCACCGGCUCAAGGUCACAGGCGAGGACUCUGCAGCCGCCCGCGCCUGUGUAGCCCUGGGUGGCGGGAGGAGGGCGUAGGCGUGGGGCGAGGCGGGGAGGCAGCCUCCGUAGGCAGAGCGAUGACAGAUAAAUGGCUUGUCCUGUAAA